rnacentral:lncRNA from 1 species
AAUCGGAAUCGCUAAAAGAAGGAGCUUCUUUCUUUUUCGUCGUCUUUGUUUUGGUUUUCUUCUUCAUGGUUCAGGCUUCGCCGAAAAUCGUUUUCUUCCACCGUCGUGACCGUAUUCGUCGUCAUCUUCUUCAAUCGCCGGAAUCCUCUUCUACUUAGUUAUCUCUAGUUCUAGGGCAAAUAGUUUUGGUAGAAGAUGAAAACUAAAACUUCUUUUUCUAUUUGUUUUUA